AAUAAACCAAUUUUUCACUUUUUAUCUAUAAUUUUUUAUUCUUCGUCUUAUUCAGAUUUUUUUGCGAUUGAUAUUUUUGUUUUUAUUAGAUGAUAAAUCAUGAAUAGUACUUUACGUGUGACUAUUUUUUUUAAUUUUCUGAAUUUUUUUCAAAUAAGACGGAUGGUCAAACGUUGGACACGGAAAUCGGAAAUCAGA
rnacentral:pre_miRNA from 1 species